rnacentral:lncRNA from 1 species
AAAGAGUGAAUAAUGUCUCCCCAAUUGUGGGGAGAUACUGUAGCAAAAGGUUGAAUAGGAAGGAAAAUAGGUGGCUGUUGAACUUAUUUUUUUUUCAUUCUUCACGUUUUAAUUUGUCUAAAAGGUUGUGUGGGAGGCGGGUGGUGAUGCUCUUAAAAAUUCAUUUCAAUGGUUACACCAUGUCAUCAUUGUACUACAAUUUAAUUAUAAAUUGUCAUAUUUAUAUAAUAAACGCCAUUAGAUUAAUAU